rnacentral:misc_RNA from 1 species
AUAACCAGCAGCGGACCAGCAAUCUUGGAAAUGUCAAAAGAGAUUUUGAUAAAAAGGAUUCGAAGCAGAGGUCCAAUUUGAAACCUCCUGUGGCCAAAGGAAACAGNNNNNNNNNCAUAUAUUGAAGAUGAUGAGUUGGAUCCUAUGGACCCAAGCUCUUAUUCAGAUGCUCCCCGUGGUGGUUGGGUUGUUGGCCUGAAAGGAGUGCAGCCACGAGCAGCCG